rnacentral:piRNA from 1 species
UUCAAGGGCUCCAACACCAAACAUAAUCAGAC